GAGGCCGAUGAGGUGGCGCUGGCGGUCGGUGGGGGCGGCCGGCUCGUCGUAGAGCCAGACGCCGGCGCCGAUCCGGCCGGCCUCC
rnacentral:tRNA from 1 species